GUCUCGGUGCCUGGCAGCAGCAGCAGGAUGGGGGAUAGCGCUCACCUGAGACCACAGGAUAUUCAGCCUCCAGUAGAUGAGCUUGGAUCUCUCAGUGUUGAUGACCUGGAGUCAGCUGGGGAACUGAAGCACAGAAAUGUCCAUGGUCAAACAGGGGAUCUCUGGUGGAGCCGGGACUGGAACACAGGGACUUGAGUCAAGGUCUUCUAUCUCCCAGCUGCAUGCUCCGACCACUG